rnacentral:rRNA from 1 species
AUGAACGCUGGCGGCGUGCCUAAUACAUGCAAGUCGAGCGAACGGACGAGAAGCUUGCUUCUCUGAUGUUAGCGGCGGCCGGGUGAGUAACACGUGGAUAACCUACCUAUACGACUGGGAUAACUUCGGGAAACCGGAGCUAAUACCGGAUAAUAUUUUGAACCGCAUGGUUCAAAAGUGAAAGACGGUCUUGCUGUCACUUAUAGAUGGAUCCGCGCUGCAUUAGCUAGUUGGUAAGGUAACGGCUUACCAAGGCAACGAUGCAUAGCCGACCUGAGAGGGUGAUCGGCCACACUGGAACUGAGACACGGUCAAGACUCCUACGGGAGGCAGCAGUAGGGAAUCUUACGCAAUGGGCGAAAGCCUGACGGAGCAACGCCGCGUGAGUGAUGAAGGUCUUCGGAUCGUAAAACUCUGUUAUUAGGGAAGAACAUAUGUGUAAGUAACUGUGCACAUCGUGACGGUACCUAAUCAGAAAGCCACGGCUAACUACGUG